rnacentral:rRNA from 1 species
GACGAACGCUGGCGGCGUGCUUAACACAUGCAAGUCGAACGGAAAGGCCCUGCUUUUGUGGGGUGCUCGAGUGGCGAACGGGUGAGUAACACGUGAGUAACCUGCCCUUGACUUUGGGAUAACUUCAGGAAACUGGGGCUAAUACCGGAUAGGAGCUCCUGCUGCAUGGUGGGGGUUGGAAAGUUUCGGCGGUUGGGGAUGGACUCGCGGCUCAUCAGCUUGUUGGUGGGGUAGUGGCUUACCAAGGCUUUGACGGGUAGCCGGCCUGAGAGGGUGACCGGCCACAUUGGGACUGAGAUACGGCCCAGACUCCUACGGGAGGCAGCAGUGGGGAAUAUUGCACAAUGGGCGGAAGCCCGAUGCAGCAACGCCGCGUGCGGGAUGACGGCCUUCGGGUUGUAAACCGCUUUCGCCUGUGACGAAGCGUGAGUGACGGUAAUGGGUAAAGAAGCACCGGCUAACUACGUG